rnacentral:rRNA from 1 species
GAUGAACGCCAGCUACAGGCUUAACACAUGCAAGUCGAGGGGCAGCAUGGUCUUAGCUUGCUAAGGCCGAUGGCGACCGGCGCACGGGUGAGUAACACGUAUCCAACCUGCCGUCUACUCUUGGACAGCCUUCUGAAAGGAAGAUUAAUACAAGAUGGCAUCAUGAGUUCACAUGUUCACAUGAUUAAAGGUAUUCCGGUAGACGAUGGGGAUGCGUUCCAUUAGAUAGUAGGCGGGGUAACGGCCCACCUAGUCUUCGAUGGAUAGGGGUUCUGAGAGGAAGGUCCCCGACAUUGGAACUGAGACACGGUCCAAACUCCUACGGGAGGCAGCAGUGAGGAAGAUUGGUCAAUGGGCGAGAGCCUGAACCAGCCAAGUAGCGUGAAGGAGGACUGCGCUAUGGGUUGUAAACUUCUUUUAGAAAGGAAUAAAGUCGGGUAUGUAUACCCGUUUGCAUGUACUUUAUGAAUAAGGAUCGGCUAACUCCGUG